UGGUUCUGGCAUCGAUGAAGAACGCAGCGAAAUGCGAUAAGUAAUGUGAAUUGCAGAAUUCAGUGAAUCAUCGAAUCUUUGAACGCACAUUGCGCCCGCUAGUAUUCUGGCGGGCAUGCCUGUUCGAGCGUCAUUUCAACCCCUCAAGCUCUGCUUGGUGUUGGGGCACUAUAGUACUUUUACAGGCUGUAGGCCCUUAAAAUCAGUGGCGGGUUCGUUGUAACUCUAGGCGUAGUAGUAAUAUCUCGCCUUAGAUGAUCAGCGUGGUCCAGCCGUAAAAACCACAAUUUUACCCAAGGUUGACCUCGGAUCAGGUAGGAAUACCCGCUGA
rnacentral:misc_RNA from 1 species